GAUGAACGCUGGCGGCGUGCUUAACACAUGCAAGUCGAACGAAGCUGUUGUUUGGAGACCUUCGGGUGGAAGAAUAACAGACUGAGUGGCGGACGGGUGAGUAACGCGUGGGUAACCUACCUUGCACAGGGGGACAACAGUUGGAAACGACUGCUAAUACCGCAUAAGACCACAGUACCGCAUGGUACAGGGGUAAAAACUGAGGUGGUGCAAGAUGGACCCGCGUCUGAUUAGCUAGUUGGUGGGGUAAAGGCCUACCAAGGCGACGAUCAGUAGCCGACCUGAGAGGGUGAUCGGCCACAUUGGGACUGAGACACGGCCCAAACUCCUACGGGAGGCAGCAGUGGGGAAUAUUGGACAAUGGGGGGAACCCUGAUCCAGCGACGCCGCGUGAGUGAAGAAGUAUUUCGGUAUGUAAAGCUCUAUCAGCAGGGAAGAAAAUGACGGUACCUGACUAAGAAGCCCCGGCUAACUACGUGC
rnacentral:rRNA from 1 species